AAUCGCACGCGGGUGCGGCCCAAACAACCGUACUGAGACCUAGCUGAAGAUUUGUAAUGGUUUUAUUGGUUAUAAUGGGGACUGUAUUGGUUUUACUGGGAACUGUAAUGGACCCUGUUGACCUCUGUUGGUCACCUUCAAUUGGUGGCUUGUUGAAACCAAUAAAUCCUAAUGGAAUAUGUCCCAUAACACACUACAAAUACAUUUUUAAUGAUUAGAAGUUAAUGGUUUGUAAUGUUUGUAUGGCAUUUGUAGUGGAAACCAUUAAUUAAUUAAUUAAUUAAUUUUUUUUUUUUUGAUGGUUCUAUUGUUUUUUUUUUCAGCUGGUGAAAGGGAACCAGACCAAACAAGAAAUAUCAACAUUGUAUUUGGUCCGGAAAAAAGCAAGUGAACUAGCGGAAAUUCCUUCCAAACUUUUCUUUACAGUCAUGGUUACCAUUUACUUCCGCAGCAAGGAUAAGAAUUUAAUUUUGGGGUGAACACAGGAGUCACUAUUGAAAUGUAAAGGGUUCUGCUAUGUGGUAUUAUGCAUGGGACUGUAUUUCUGCACAUUACAGUCAUUUUAAUGGUUUGAUAACAAGCUCCAUAACUAUCUCGUGAGCAACCCUUAUCAGACCGGAGCCUGGGAAAUCUCAAGCUUCAACGUCAAAAUGUCUUGCCAAUUCCGCCUGUGGAGGUUAUUUAUGAGCGGGUAAACACUGUUUCAGCACUGUAAAACAUCCAUCCGCGGCGCUUCGCACCAAUCUCGCGAUGCCACGAGCCUCGCUCACUCAGCUGUAUGGUGAGAGUUUUCCUCCUCUCGCGAGAUCAGAAGAGUUUCCCACGCCUGUUGUUGUGGUGUCUGCCCUCUUCUUUCACUCACCCUGCCCCCCCUCCUCUGUCCUCGUCACCCGCCCCCUUUCUCUCUUUCCCUCGCUCCUUCAGUCUCCAGUCUGCUUCUGUUGUCUCGGCGGCUGGAAGGGUCUGGGAGAGUGGAUCUCGCGAGUCUUGGAGUUUUGGUGAGAGUUUGUGGAAGAUGGCGCCUGUUGUGACAGGGAAGUUUGGGGAGCGCCCUCAACCACAGCGCCUGACGAGGUACGUUUAUCACCUUCACAUGCUAAUAACAAACAAACAAGCUGAGAAAGGCCUCUCUCUGGUACGGCCUACAUUUCUGCAUGCAAAACUUGUGUAUUACAUGACUUACAGUGGCAACAGCGGAACUAUCCGCACAUGGGUUUCACUUUAAAACAAAGUUUGACAUUUUUGAAGAAAAAUGCUGCAGUUAUUGUUUAAAAAUGGUGAAAAAUUAGAAAUGUUUUAACAUAAUGUUACAUGUAAUUCUACUGUGAAAUACUUUCAAAAGUAAAAAUUAUGAUUUACCACAUAAUUCAUGAUGUGAAACAGUAAACGGACAUUCCCAGAAGUCCCUGCACGUCACAUUACAUAUGAUUACAUUUUAUUCAAAUGGUUUUGUUUUGUCGUAUUUUUUUAUUAGUAAUGUGCAUUAGCGCAUUUCAUGUUACAUUUUAGUAUGUUUUAUUUGAUUGUUCAUAUAUUUAAUAUAUAUUUACAAUUUUCAGGCAUCAGUAUGUCAUACCUGAAACAUUGUCACCAUAUUUUUAUGGUACAUUUUUGGCUAACAUGAAAUUUAACAGGAAAAUGUUAUUUUUACAUUAUAUAAAUUAUUCAGUUUGCGCUUUCUGGCAAGUAUAAUCAUAUAUUAUAUUAUAUUAUAUUAUAUUAUAUUAUAUUAUUAAAGUAAUUUCGACAGAAAUAUACUGUGUGUGUGUGUGAGUAGUUGUUGUUAUCAAUAUUUUAAAGUUUUGCACUUUAAUUGGAAAUCUCAUUUGUAGGCUACAUGUCAUCUCACAUAAGUGACUAGAAAAACUGUGAAACUUUGUGAAAAUAGACUUCCGACACCACUGAAAAAUUAAGCUGCAUAUAAAUAAGAUGUGACUGUGAUUUCUAAUGUAGUUAACAGGAUUUUUUUUUUUUAAUUAAUUCUUCUAUGUUGGAAAAUACAGAAAACUUAAACCUAUAUUUCCUUUCCUCUAAAAUCUGGCCGUGUUACAGUUUAUUUAAUGGUCAGUCUGAAAAUAAAAGUACUGUUGGCCUAGGACA
ensembl:lncRNA